GCUUCGGUUGAUUAGUGGUUACAGCGUCCGCCUCGGAUGCGGGUGGUCGUGGGUUAUAUCCCCGGUCGAGUCA